ensembl:lncRNA DRAIC downregulated RNA in cancer, inhibitor of cell invasion and migration
GGAGCUGAUUAGUGGUUGAAGGCAGCUGAUCUGUUUCGAAUCCUGUGUGUCCGGAGAGGCCAACGCUUUCAUUAGCCAGCAGGAAUGGGCUGGGGCGCGUUUGUAGUUGGGAAUCCUGAGCCCGGGCUGUUGCUUGGAGGACUCGGGAGCAGCAGUGGAUUUCGGCGUUACCAGGAGAGGUCUCGAGCACCAGAUCCCUCUUCCUUCACUUCCCAGUAGUGGGUUCUAGCCGUUCCCAGCGCCUUCAUUUCCAGAAGGCGAUUUUACCCAGAGAAAGGAGAGGGAAGAUUUGCUCUACCUUUGGCUUCUUAUCAAAUAGCUAAAUCACGUGGGAAGCUGCUAUGUAUAGGAAUGCCGCUAUGGAAAGACAUCCAGGACACCUUGUUAAGUGAAAAAAGACAUGCCACCAUUAGGGCUUCAUUUCCCUGCAGUCUUCUUUAAAUACCAAAACUGCCCUGGGAAGGAUAAGACAUCAGUUUCUUCAUACUUCAGAGCAAAUGGGAUUGAUUCCCAGGACCUCCUUUCUGUGGACUGGGUUUUUGCCUCCUCACCAAGAGACUGGGCUCCCUGGGCGAGCAGAGGCUGCUGGGUUCAGUAUCUGAACACUUUUGCUAAAGGUCUCUGGAAAGCUCCCUGUGUUAAUUCUCGAUGAGACUACGUCUGUGCCGGCCGCUUCCUGAGCCUCCUUCCAUGUGCAUAGGCCUGCUGCAUGCUGGAGACCUGCGGCACAGCUGCCAAGUGCCCCGUGUGGUUCUGUGAUCUUGGGACAGUCACUUCCUCUCUGUGGUUGUCAGUCUUCUCAUCCCUAAGAUGGAAUAAAAAGGCCUACCUCAUUGGGCUCGUGUGGGUGAGGAGAACUGAAGAGUCUGAGAGCGCGGCACGAGCCAGAGGCUACGGAAAACACUGCCCUCCUACACUCCACCUUGGAGAGACCCAGAAAAGAACAAGCUUCAUUUGUAAAAAAGGAAAACAACUCAGGCAAUGGGGGUGGCUUAAAGGCACUCUACAGUGUGCAGAUGCCUUCCACUUCUUCCAUCUGCCCUGUCUCUCCAAGAACCCCUAUGGCCCCGGUCUCAGAACAGAGCUGAGUGCAGAAAUGAAAAUCUAUGGCUCUGUGUUCCAAAACGAUGAAGAAUUUCAAGAUGGUGGCAGUGGUAAAAUCUUUCUCCAGGAAAAAUCUGUCCUUGGCCCAAUGUGUAAACACUUGCUGAGGAACUUGGAAUAACUUGCAGUGUCUUGCAGUAUUGUGAAACCAGCAACUUGUUCACAAUUCUUCUGAAUUUCUUGGGAAAUUUGAAGUGGAGUACCUGUACCAACAUGAAAUGACACGAAUUUAAGUGACGCUCAACAACGAAAAGCAAAAAGAACCAAAGAGGAAGCAACUGAAACAACAUCUGGAUGUAUUUAAAAAUAUACAAUGCCUCCAAAAUCAGGUGUCAUUAAUGAAAAUUCUGAAGAAAUGCCACCGGACAUAGCCAACGCACCUACGCUGUUGUUAUUCAUUUCCUGCUUUUCACAGAAAACAAUUUUGUUGCAUGGAAGAUCGUGAACUUCAAAGGGCAGAGGGGAAACUGUCCCUUGGCCUCUACCCCUCCAAGGCCCCACUUUUUUGUCAACACUCCUUGGACGCAGCAGAAGUAUGAACAUAAUAUGGUCCUGAAUGAGGCUGAGUCUUUGGGCGCAGAAGACCCGGGUUAAUAAAAAUAGGAAGGUAAGAAAAGAAAAGAAAAAUCAAGACACAUCAUAGGACUAAAUUCCUAUUAUUUAUCCACUCAGGAUUGACCACCCCUUUGGGCCAGAUAGUUGUACCCCCAUGUACCAGGUGGGCACAUGAAGACACAAGAAGUGCUGUGAUGGUUCAUUUUGCACGUCACCUUGCGUGGAGUAUGCCAACUCAUUGUUUGGUCAAACACUAGUCUGGACAUGGUGGUAAAGGUAUUUUUUAGAUGAGAUUAACACUUAAAUCAGUAAAGCAGGUUACCCACCAUACUACGGGUGGGCCCUGUCCAAUCAGUUGAAGGCAUUAAGAACAAAGAUUGAGGUUUCCUAAAGAAGAUGGAAUUCUCCUUGAGACUACAACAUAGAAACCCUAUCUGAGUUUCCAGCCUGUUGCCCUGUGGAAUUCAAACUCAGGACUCCGGUCUAUGACAUUAACCCUCACUUAACUUUUCAGCCUGCCAGCCUGCCCUAUGGAUUUCGGACUUGCCAGCCACACAAUUCCUUAAAAUAAAUCUCUCCGUCUC